AACACACACGCUCACUGCAUCAGAUUUUCACAUGACCACAUUUUGCAUUUUAUGAUUCGGUUGUGUGUUUUUGUAUUUUUAACCUUCUGUAGGUUGGAGUUGCUGAUUGCUUUCUAUUUAAAAUAAUGCUACAGUAGAGGUGUGAGUCUGAAGGAAGAGUUGCCCACCACAUGGGCAACAUUCAGAUCUACUGGAAGAGAUGCAACCUUUAAACAAGAGGCAGCCAAGGAUCUUCAAAUUUGCCCAAAAUGGCGGAUUCAAACCAAAAUGGCUGACUACCUGUUCAGUUUCUGGCACGGGCUCAAGAGACUUUGUUGUGCGUUCUGUUCUCAUUGGCAUGUCUCCCCAAUUAUGUGUUGAUCUAAAAAAAAAAAAAAAAAAAAGUUUCAUGGGUUCAUGGUUCUUUUGUUGUAUCCAAAAAUCCAUAAAAAUAAUUACAUUUGAUGCCACUCUCUGCCCAAACUUGACUGCAGAGUAAAAAAAAAAGCUUCAUAGCUUAGCAUUGCCUGUC